UACAGAGGGUGCGAGCGUUGUUCGGAAUUAUUGGGCGUAAAGAGCUUGUAGGCGGUUUGUCGCGUCUGCCGUGAAAUUUCGGGGCUCAACCCCGAACUUGCGGUGGGUACGGGCAGACUAGAGUGUGGUAGGGGAGACUGGAAUUCCUGGUGUAGCGGUGAAAUGCGCAGAUAUCAGGAGGAACACCGAUGGCGAAGGCAGGUCUCUGGGCCACUACUGACGCUGAGAAGCGAAAGCAUGGGGAGCGAACAGG
rnacentral:rRNA from 1 species